rnacentral:rRNA from 1 species
AGUGAACGCUGGCGGUAGGCCUAACACAUGCAAGUCGAACGGCAGCACAGUAAGAGCUUGCUCUUACGGGUGGCGAGUGGCGGACGGGUGAGGAGUACAUCGGAAUCUACUUUUUCGUGGGGGAUAACGUAGGGAAACUUACGCUAAUACCGCAUACGACCUACGGGUGAAAGCAGGGGAUCUUCGGACCUUGCGCGAUUGAAUGAGCCGAUGUCGGAUUAGCUAGUUGGCGGGGUAAAGGCCCACCAAGGCGACGAUCCGUAGCUGGUCUGAGAGGAUGAUCAGCCACACUGGAACUGAGACACGGUCCAGACUCCUACGGGAGGCAGCAGUGGGGAAUAUCGGACAAUGGCGCAAGCCUGAUCCAGCCAUACCGCGUGGGUGAAGAAGGCCUUCGGGUUGUAAAGCCCUUUUGUUGGGAAAGAAAAGCAGCAGGUUAAUACCCCGCUGUUCUGACGGUACCCAAAGAAUAAGCACCGGCUAACUUCG